CAGCAGCCGCGGGAAUACGUAGGGUGCGAGCGUUAAUCGGAAUUACUGGGCGUAAAGCGUGCGCAGGCGGUUUCUUAAGUCUGAUGUGAAAGCCCCCGGCUCAACCGGGGAGGGUCAUUGGAAACUGGGUAACUUGAGUGCAGAAGAGGAGAGUGGAAUUCCACGUGUAGCGGUGAAAUGUGUAGAGAUGUGGAGGAACACCAGUGGCGAAGGCGACUCUCUGGUCUGUAACUGACGCUGAGGAGCGAAAGCGUGGGGAGCGAACAGGAUUAGAUACCCCGGUAGUCUCUGUCUCUUAUAC
rnacentral:rRNA from 1 species